AUGAGCCAAGGAGAAGUGAUGAUAAAUAUGGUGUAAGUGCCUGUUAUUCAUCACACUUGAGGGAAAGGACACCAAGAGCAAGAGAGAAAGACCAAUACAUGACUAGCUUGCCUUGUUAAGCUCCAUGGAUGGUGGGAGGAUCAUUCAGCUGACCAAGUGCAGUAUGAUGAUCCCUCGUUUCUUAUCGUCGGCAGGACUGUGGUGACAGGGAGCAUCAGCAACUGCAAUUUAUACAAGAAGUUUCAGCCUGUCUACGGAUAUGAUGUAGAGCCGAUGCUUCGUGAAUUCAUCUCCCUGCUGCUGCUGAUGGUGCCCCAAGUGGUGGUCCAGUCUAGAGGACAUGUAUUUCUCCUCUAUUUUGAAAUUUUAGAACUGAAUCAAUUUUUCAUCAGUAGACAAGCUGAGUUUAUAGUAUAGAAAUUAUGAGAGGAUUAUGCCUUCUCUUUUCAAUAUGAAUUUCCUUCGUGCAAUUGCCCCAGACCUAAAUUACGAGAGGAUUAUGGAGGCGAUGAAGAUGUAAAUUAUGAGAAGUUGAGUUUAUAGUGUGUAAAUUAGGAGAGGAUUAUGCCUUCUCCUUUCAACAGGA